GGUUGAACUAAUUUACACUCCCACGAACAGUGUAAAAGUGUUCCUAUUUAAUUUUUUAAGCUUGUAAACUUUAUUUGUGCAUGUUUACAACAAAGAAGGAUUUUAUUGUUAUUACAUAAAAUAGGUGAUUUCUAGAUUUUAAAGUCACAGAUUGAAAGCAAGACACAAUAAAGUAGAUUUCAAGAUAUAGAUACUUACGAGGCAUCCUUUUAGUUAUACAUGCAGGGUAACCAUCUAUUUUACGCCUACUGUCUACUAUUGUUUGAGGUCCUUACCAAAGUAUUACAGGCUAGUUAGGAAACAUAAAACAAUUAGAAAGUAAUCUUUGACAAGUAAGCUAUCUAUAAAUGGCAAUGAAAGCUAGAAUAAAUUCAAUGAAAAUAUCUAUUUAAUCCUAGUGUUUACUGGUCUAGAAAAACAGGCUGAGUGAAUUAGUAUUUCUUUGGCUGUUGUGGUAACAUACUGCAUGCUGUAACAGUUUUAAGUAAUUACGGGUACGUUGAAAUGUAUCUACGGCUUUGUCACCACAUUUUAAAAUGUCCUGAGUACUUUUUUCUGACCUCAAUUACUAUGAAGUUGGUUUCCAAUAUUUAAUGAACCAAGAAUAUCAAGAUGAUGGGUAUUAUUAACGUGAGGCUUCCAUAGCCUUUUCAAUAAAGACCAGAAUUCUGGAGUGCCUUGAACCUUAAUCAUUGAUCCUUAAUUUUUAUUAAGUAACUGCUCACCUUUUAAAGACUGAGGCCCAGGAAGUGUAAGUUUCUCUGAGACAAGGCAUUCAGUGCAGUGAUUCUUGGGUAUUGGCUCUAAGACCAGAUGCAAAUAAAGGCUAAAAUCCCAUGUUAGUGCUCAUCAGUUGAGAGCCCUUUGUUAAGCUGUAUAACUCUGUGCAUAGUUUUCUUAUCAGCAAAGUCAGAAAAUGUAUCUACCUGAUGGGCUGAUUAUAAGGCUGGGAUGAGAGAAUCCAUGCAAUCAGCCCUCACUGACAGAUGCUGCCCAGUUCAUGAGUGCUGCUACUGUCCUCCUGCCCAGGUACCCAGUUCACAGGAGUGCCGGAGUUAGAGUCCCAAGGGUGUUCUCCACGGCUACAUGCUUGAUCCAGGCCUAUCAGAUGAGUUGGCUCUUUGCUGGUGGUUUUUCUUCUCUUGCUGUACAAAAUUCCAGACAAUAAUGUCUGUCAUUUAUUUUUAUAGAUAUAGUCCACUGAAAGCCCUCAUUCUCAAAUUUAAAACAAAGACUCUUCGUGUACCUCAAUAGCAAUGUACACAUAGUUGGCACAGCUUCACAAACGUACCAUACAUUUCUUUUUUUUUUCUAUAUAUAUUCAGCAAAUGUAUAUUGACUACCUACCAUGUGACAGAUAUUAUUUGUUGGCGGAAUCAGGCAUCAUCAGCAAACAAAACUGACAAAGCUUCCUGCCCUCUAUGGAAGGCAUCUGAGGAAGAGACCAGAUUUCAUAGCAACAUGUUAUUCUCAUUAUAAACUUUAUCAUUGGAAUACUAAAGCCAGAUCAUCCCCCUUCUCCUUGGUCAGGGUACCCACCUAAUUCAGGCUGCUACACAAUUGUGAAUGCCUUUGUUUUUUUCUGCUGAAGCAUCCUUAAAAAGAUACCUCACAACUCAAUAUUUGGCUUUUCUUAAAUAUGAUUUUUAAUUUUUUAAAUUUCUAUCUAGCGAUUUAAUUGAAAAUGGAAAAUUAUCAAUUUUCCAAUUAAAUCUCUGUUCCAAUCAACAUUAUACCUUUUAGGUUGUCAUUGCCAUUUUUUAAGUUUAAGCCACUUUAGGGAUUUUGAAUUUGGCUGCCUAUAAAUUAAAGGUGAAGGUAAUCAUUGUGUUGCAUUAGUACAUUUUGUCAACUGAGAGUGGUUUCCUUGCUCUUAGUGUAGAAAAAGUUUAUUUUUCCAAUGUAGAUUAACAGGGGAGAUAAAGAAAACAAAAUCAAUGAUUUACAUGGAUGAGAAAAGAAACUUUUCCUCAAGGAUUAAGGAAAAUUCAUACCUUUUAUGUCUUUUGAAAAGUUUUUAAUUUUAAUGUGCCCUUUAAAUAUUUUUUUAAAAUAUGUCCUAUUUUAAAAUGUACUCCCUGAGAGAAGGAAUUGAUACCUUUGUUUGAAAUCAAAAAUAGCAUGCAUAGAGACUGUUUUUCUAGUUAGUUGAAGCUUUUUCCCUCUCUCCUUUACAUCAGUGAACCAGCAUCUUGCCCGUCAGACCCUACAGCACACUUGGGCUCAUGAAGUGUCUGACACAUCCUUUUUGAAGGAUCUACCAUGCCCUUGCUCCCAUGACUACAUGAAUUCUUCUGUAUGUCUUUUCUCACAGGUGAGUACUCUCUUCCUGACCCCCCUGUGGAGUGGGGAAAGGAGGCUCUGACAUUGUGCUUGUGCAAACAUAACUGAAAGUUUUCCGAGUCUCCUGCAUCUUCAUAGAUGAUUUUUUAUUUUAUGCUUGGACAGUAGUUCUUUAAAUAGAAUAUUCUCCCAUGGAAAACGUCCACAAUGCUGAGAGUACACCUUGCAAAAGGUAUGCUUUGCUUUGCAAAAUGUAUCAGCUUCAUUUUCACAUUAUGUUGGAAGCUUAACAUGAAAGAACAUGGCUGAAAGGAGACCACAGGUAAGCAUACUGUAACAAAAGUUAGUGCCAUCAUGUUUGUGUCUUUGCCUGUGGUUUUUUAAGUGUAUAAUGUUUAAUGUUGAUUUGGCCAUCAAAUUCAGUUUUCUUUUGUUAAAAAAAUUUCUGUAAAUGAGAAAUGUACUGAAUCCUUUAUUUAGCAGACCAAAGAUGGGUGAUGAUGGCUGAACAGGUUUAAACCACAGUAAUUUGAAAAUGAAAAUACCUAAAAUGAUGUCCUUUCUCUUCCACUCAGUGUUUCUUCACCAAAUAAAGUCCAGUUUGCUCCGAAUUUGUUGCCAAUAGGAGCAAUGUUAUCGUGAAUCAUGGUUUAAUACACCUUGAAAAUGGCACAUCAAUUCUGUGAUAGCAUACCGGUUUUAGCCUCUUUGUAAAAUACGAAGAAGAGUUUGUCAACCAGAAUAACCUGGAACCUGGCAAUUCAAAUACUAUUCAAAGCAGAUGUUUUAUCUAGUAACUAGAACUAAAUGUUAGGCCUCAUGACAGUUCAACAUUUACUAAGCAAGUUUAAUAACAGAGUAAGCCCUCUGUAUCCAGAGCAGAGACUAGCACACCACAUUUACAUAUACAAAUUCUGCCUUUAGCCUUCUGAAAGGGCCCAGAACUAUUGCGGCAAUCAAAAGAGUCUUUGUAAUAUCCUAAAAUCCAUAUAGUACUCUAUAUUUUACACAUUUUAAUAGCUAGUCUAACAAAUAACAAGUACCAUGCUUUAUUCUCUGCAUGCAUUAUUACAACUAAUCAUUGGGAUAAUCUUAUAAAGUAAGUACUUUUGUCUCGGCCUACAGGUGAGAAAACAAAAGUUAAAUAGAUCGCCCAGGGCCUUGCUGGAACGUGUUGAGCAGGGAUUUCAGCCUGUUCAGUCAGAUCCUGGAAGCUGUGUUCUUAACCAUUAGCAAUACAUCAUCCCAGGCAUGCCCUACAUGAUGAGCCUCAUAACCAGUUUUGUGAUGGAUAGUAUUAUCCCCAUUUCACCGAUGGCAAAACUGAAGUCCAGAGACUCUAAGUGACCUACCCAAAAUUACAGUCAUGAGCAGUGGCACUGGGAUGUAGGGUCUUGCUACUCUACCUCUCAUGGUCCUCUUUUCUGUUUUGUGUAGGUCUCCACUACCACUGCUCGGUUCUCUCCUGCUGCUGGAAAGGAUGUAUUUUAUACAUUUCUGUUUCUAGCUUGGAACAAAACACUCUGUGGGUCUCUGCUUGAUCAGUGACCCCUCUAAACUACACCCCACUACAGCAGGAAUGGCAUAAGAUGCUUCAAUACACAGCAUCUUUUUGUUCCCACCUCACCCCCGGAGCUGUAAUAGGCAGGGCCAACCAAAGGUAAAAGAGAUGAUUUGUCUUGGUCACCCCUAGUUUCCCUUUUCUCGGCCUUGUAUUUAACAGGAAUAUUCUUUAGUUCCCCUUAUGUUCUAAAGCACCUCCCCACCCCAAAAAUAGCAAAAGAGCUGUGAGUCAUUUUCACUUUAGUGUGAAUGUGCCUUCCUGAUUUCGCCAAGGCUGUUUUGCCUAAUCCUUUUAAUCUAAUUUAGAUUAGAAUUUAAUAGCAGAAUGAGAGUCUCUGGAUAUCUUGGCUUCUUCCCUGAGAAUAAUGAACUGGGAAUUGUUGGUCUAGACAUCCAAAGUACCAGAGACCUAUUGCUCAGAGAUGUUUGGGCUAUACAAUUGCUGUAGAUUUGGCAUUUGAAGCUGCCUUUUUUGAGCAAUGGCCUUCUCAGCCCAGGCUCUCUCGCUCUUUCCAUCUCUCCGCUUGAACCAGGUGGACUCUUGCCCUCCACUCCUUCCAGCUUGUCAGUGAUACAGAGAACAUUCUCCAUCCUUCCAAUGAUUGCAUUCCUUCACCUUCGUGGGGCCCAAGUGCAGAUGGAGUGGCUCUUGGGAGCAGCCUGGGCUUAUAGUGCAGCUCUCUGCUACCUGCAACAGGCUGGUAUUCGGGGAGCUUGAAUGCACCACUGAUGGUUAUUGUAGGAAGAACUCCCUGACCUGGCCCACCCUGGCUCUUCUCUUCGCUUGACUCCUAGAUCACAUGGUGUUCAUCUUGUAUAUAUCCCACCCCAGACUGGGAUUCAGCCAUUUCUCUUAGGAUUCCUGAUUCCUUUAAUGGGAAAUGUUAUUUAGAGACCACAUUCUGAGCACUGGUCUGUCAGGAUAUAACUUCAACUCCAAAACCUGACCCCUUCUCACUGCCUAACUGCCACCAUCAUGACCCAGGGACAUCACCUCCUGCUAAGAUUAUCACAGUGGCCUCCUCACCAUUGUCUGUAUCUCCCCUGCUCUGGGCCCUGUGGUUUGUUCUCAGUACAGCAGCCAUCAGGCCCAGAAGAGCAAGGAUCUUCUCACCAUGACUAGAGCAUUGCUUCUUCCUCUGCCAUGUGUCGAUGGCCCUGAAAGUAAGAGAUGAUGAGGGUCGUAUGGUACUUCCUUCCAUCAGGUAGACACCUGACAGAUAUAAUCAGCGCUUGUGGUUUAUAUGAUGUUUAUUAUGUUAAUAUAAGCUUUGUAUAUGUCAAUUAAGUCCUUUAAUCCCUACAACAACCCAGUGAGGAUGGUUUCACAAUUUUCCUGAUGUUAGAAAUGAAGCCAUUGAGACACAGAUAGGUUUGAAAAUUGCUUGCAACCAGGUAGUUCACAAGUGGUAGAGUUGGGACCAGGAUCCAGGGAGCUUGGCUCUAGAGUCCAGGCUUUAAGCCAGUGCUAUCCAAUAGAACUUUCAGUGAUGAAGGAAAUGUUCUGUAUCUAUGCUGUCCAAUAUGGUCACCUCUAGCCACAAAUAGCUAUUGAGGAUUUGACAUAUGGCUAGUUCAACUGAGGACUUUUUUUUUU